rnacentral:rRNA from 1 species
AAGUCGUAACAAGGUAGCCGUAGGGGAACCUGCGGCUGGAUCACCUCCUUUAAAGAGCAAG